GAUGAACGCUGACAGAAUGCUUAACACAUGCAAGUCGACUUGAAACAACUUCGGUUGUGGAAAGUGGCGGACGGGUGAGUAACGCGUAAAGAACUUGCCCUUCAGUCUGGGACAACCAUUGGAAACGAUGGCUAAUACCGGAUAUUAUGGAACUCUCGCAUGGGAGGAUCAUGAAAGCUAUAUGCGCUGAAGGAGAGCUUUGCGUUCCAUUAGCUAGUUGGUGAGGUAACGGCUCACCAAGGCGACGAUGGAUAGCCGGCCUGAGAGGGUGAUCGGCCACAAGGGGACUGAGACACGGCCCUUACUCCUACGGGAGGCAGCAGUGGGGAAUAUUGGACAAUGGACCAAAAGUCUGAUCCAGCAAUUCUGUGUGCACGAUGAAGGUUUUCGGAUCGUAAAGUGCUUUCAGUUGGGAAGAAGAAAGUGACGGUACCAACAGAAGAAGCGACGGCUAAAUACGUGCCAGCAGCCGCGGUAAUACGUAUGUCGCAAGCGUUAUCCGGAUUUAUUGGGCGUAAAGCGCGUCUAGGCGGGUUCAUAAGUCUGAUGUUAAAAUGCGGGGCUCAACUCCGUAUUGCGUUGGAAACUGUGAACCUAGAGUAUCAGAGAGGUGGGCGGAACUACAAGUGUAGAGGUGAAAUUCGUAGAUAUUUGUAGGAAUGCCGAUGGAGAAGUCAGCUCACUGGAUGAAUACUGACGCUAAAGCGCGAAAGCGUGGGUAGCAAACAGG
rnacentral:rRNA from 1 species